rnacentral:rRNA from 1 species
UACGUAGGAGGCGAGCGUUGUCCGGAGUUACUGGGCGUAAAGGGUGCGCAGGCGGCCGAUCGCGGUUUGCGGUGAAAGCUCCCGGCUUACCUGGGAGAGGGCCGUGAAGACGGGUUGGCUUGAGGCUCGGAGAGGGACGUGGAGUUCCGGGUGGAGCGGUGAAAUGCGUAGAGAUCCGGAAGAACACCGACGGCGAAGGCAGCGUCCUGGCCGAGGCCUGACGCUCAGGCACGAAAGCGCGGGGAGCGAACAGG